rnacentral:rRNA from 1 species
GUCGGGUGCUGAGGCCAAUGAAAAAAAAAAUAUGACUCUCGGCAACGGAUAUCUCGGCUCUCGCAUCGAUGAAGAACGUAGCGAAAUGCGAUACGUGGUGUGAAUUGCAGAAUCCCGUGAACCAUCGAGUCUUUGAACGCAAGUUGCGCCCGAGGGACCCUCCCGAGGGCACGCCUGCCUCAUGGGCGUUAGAAGCCCAUCCACGCUCGGUUGCCUCAUGGCAAAGAUGCGGACAUUGGCCCUCCGAACCGCGAGGUGCGGUGGGCCUAAGUGUGCGGCCGUCGUAUGUGGCCGGGAGCGGCGAGUGGUGGGCUACUGCGCACGUCACCCCGAGCCAUGUACUGACACAAGGCUUUUUUGGACCCCUAACGAGGAGCUUGCCGUCGCGGCCUGCGCUGCGCGGCGCCUUCGGACCGAUACCCCAGG